GCCAUGCCGCGUGUGUGAAGAAGGCCUUUUGGUUGUAAAGCACUUUAAGCAGUGAAGAAGACUCCAUGGUUAAUACCCAUGGACGAUGACAUUAGCUGCAGAAUAAGCACCGGCUAACUCUGUGCCAGCAGCCGCGGUAAUACAGAGGGUGCAAGCGUUAAUCGGAAUUACUGGGCGUAAAGCGGGCGUAGGUGGCUUGAUAAGUCAGAUGUGAAAUCCCCGGGCUUAACCUGGGAACUGCAUCUGAUACUGUUAGGCUAGAAUAGGUGAGAGGAAGGUAGAAUUCCAGGUGUAGCGGUGAAAUGCGUAGAGAUCUGGAGGAAUACCGAUGGCGAAGGCAGCYUUCUGGCAUCAUAUUGACACUGAGGUUCGAAAGCGUGGGUAGCAAACAGGAUUAGAUACCCUGGUAGUCCACGCCGUAAACGAUGUCUACUAGUCGUUGGGUCCCUUGAGGACUUAGUGACGCAGCUAACGCAAUAAGUAGACCGCCUGGGGAGUACGGCCGCAAGGUUAAAACUCAAAUGAAUUGACGGGGGCCCGCACAAGCGGUGGAGCAUGUGGCUUAAUUCGAUGCAACGCGAAGAACCUUACCUGGUCUUGACAUAUCUAGAAUCCUGCAGAGAUGCGGGAGUGCCUUCGGGAAUUAGAAUACAGGUGCUGCAUGGCUGUCGUCAGCUCGUGUCGUGAGAUGUUGGGUUAAGUCCCGCAACGAGCGCAACCCUUGUCCUUAGUUACCAGCGGGUUAAGCCGGGAACUCUAAGGAUACUGCCAGUGACAAACUGGAGGAAGGCGGGGACGACGUCAAGUCAUCAUGGCCCUUACGACCAGGGCUACACACGUGCCACAAUGGUAGGUACAGAGGGCAGCUACACAGCGAUGUGAUGCGAAUCUCAAAAAGCCUAUCGUAGUCCAGAUUGGAGUCUGCAACUCGACUCCAUGAAGUAGGAAUCGCUAGUAAUCGCGGAUCAGAAUGCCGCGGUGAAUACGUUCCCGGGCCUUGUACACACCGCCCGUCACACCAUGGGAGUUGGUUGCACCAGAAGUGGAUAGCCUAACCUUCGGGAAGGCGUUCACCACGGUGUGGUUGAUGACUGGGGUGAAGUCGUAACAAGGUAACCCGGGCGGCCGCUC
rnacentral:rRNA from 1 species